AAUAUUGGACAAUGGGCGAAAGCCUGAUCCAGCCAUGCCGCGUGUGUGAAGAAGCUCUUCGGAUUGUAAAGCACUUUAAGUUGGGAGGAAGGGCAGGAAGUGACUACCUUGCUGUUUUGCCGUUACCGACAGAAUAAGCACCGGCUAACUUCGUGUCAGCAGCCGCGGUAAUACGAAGGGUGCAAGCGUUAAUCGGGAUUACUGGGCGUAAAGUGCGAGUAGGUGGUUUGAUAAGUUGGAAGUGAAAGCCCCGGGCACAACCUGGGAACUGCUUUCAAAACUGGCAAGCUAGAGUAUGGCAGGGGGUGGUGGAAUUUCCUGUGUAGCGGUGAAAUGCGUAGAUAUAGGAAGGAACACCAGUGGCGAAGGCGACCACCUGGGCUAAUACUGACACUGAGGUGCGAAAGCGUGGGGAGCAAAC
rnacentral:rRNA from 1 species